rnacentral:tRNA from 1 species
GGGGAUUUAGCUCAGUGGUUCCGGCAUCUGCCUCAAAAGCGGAAGGUCCUGAGUUAGAUUCCCCA